GAAUUAAGCAUAUCAAUAAGCGGAGGAAAAGAAACUAACAAGGAUUCCCCUAGUAACUGCGAGUGAAGUGGGAAAAGCUCAAAUUUAAAAUCUGGCAGUCUUUGGCUGUCCGAGUUGUAAUCUAGAGAAGUAAUGCCCGCGCUGGACCAUGUACAAGUCUCCUGGGAUGGAGCAUCAUAGAGGGUGAGAAUCCCGUCUCUGACAUGGACUACCAGGGCUUUGUGGUAUGCUCUCAAAGAGUCGAGUUGUUUGGGAAUGCAGCUCAAAAUGGGUGGUAAAUUCCAUCUAAAGCUAAAUAUUGGCGAGAGACCGAUAGCGAACAAGUACCGUGAGGGAAAGAUGAAAAGAACUUUGGAAAGAGAGUUAAACAGUACGUGAAAUUGCUGAAAGGGAAACACUUGAAGUCAGUCAUGUUGGCCAGGGAUCAGCCUCGCUUUUGCGUGGUGUACUUUCUGGUUGAUGGGUCAGCAUCAAUUUUGACUGCUGGAAAAAGGCUUGGGGAAUGUGGCAGCUUCGGCUGUGUUAUAGCCCCUGGUCACAUACAGUGGUUGGGAUUGAGGAACUCAGCACGCCACAAGGCCGGGUUACGA
rnacentral:rRNA from 1 species